GCAGCGGCUUGGGCGCGCAGAGCGGCCGCGGCUCCCCCGCACCUGCGGCCAUGGAUGAGGAGCGCGCCCUCUACAUCGUCCGGGCUGGCGAAGCGGGGGCUAUCGAGCGGGUCCUGAGGGAUUACAGCGACAAGCAUAGGGCUACUUUCAAAUUUGAAUCAACAGAUGAAGAUAAAAGAAAGAAACUCUGUGAAGGCAUAUUUAAAGUCCUCAUAAAGGACAUCCCAACAACAUGUCAAGUGUCCUGCCUGGAAGUACUCCGCAUUCUCUCCAGAGACAAAAAGGUUUUAGUUCCUGUAACAACUAAGGAAAAUAUGCAGAUACUGCUGCGACUAGCGAAGCUAAAUGAGUUAGAUGAUUCUUUGGAGAAAGUAUCAGAGUUCCCAGUUAUUGUGGAGUCAUUAAAAUGUCUGUGUAAUAUAGUGUUCAACAGUCAGAUGGCACAGCAGCUCAGCCUGGAACUUAAUCUUGCUGCAAAGCUCUGUAACCUCCUGAGAAAGUGCAAGGACCGGAAAUUUAUCAAUGACAUUAAGUGCUUUGACUUGCGCUUGCUCUUCCUUCUGUCACUUUUGCACACCGACAUCAGGUCACAAUUGCGCUAUGAGCUCCAGGGACUACCGCUGCUAACCCAGAUCUUGGAAAGUGCCUUUAGCAUCAAGUGGACCGAUGAGUAUGAAUCGGCCAUAGACCAUAACGGACCUCCUCUCUCACCUCAGGAGACGGACUGUGCCAUUGAGGCCCUCAAAGCUCUCUUCAAUGUGACGGUAGACAGUUGGAAGGUGCAUAAAGAGAGUGAUUCUCAUCAGUUCCGUGUAAUGGCAGCUGUCCUUCGUCAUUGUUUACUAAUCGUAGGUCCAACUGAAGACAAAACAGAAGAGCUACACAGCAAUGCAGUCAACCUUUUAAGCAAUGUUCCGGUCUCUUGUUUGGAUGUUCUCAUUUGUCCGUUAACCCAUGAAGAAACAGCCCAAGAGGCAACGACUCUAGAUGAACUGCCCAGUAAUAAAACAGCCGAGAAAGAAACAGUUUUGAAAAACAAUACCAUGGUAUACAAUGGUAUGAAUAUGGAGGCCAUUCAUGUUUUACUCAAUUUUAUGGAGAAGAGAAUAGACAAGGGAAGCAGCUAUAGAGAGGGUCUAACUCCAGUUCUCAGCUUAUUAACCGAAUGUUCCCGAGCCCAUCGAAACAUCCGAAAAUUUCUCAAAGAUCAGGUUUUACCACCGUUGAGGGAUGUGACAAAUCGACCUGAAGUUGGCUCAACUGUGAGAAAUAAGCUGGUGCGCCUCAUGACACAUGUUGACCUUGGAGUCAAGCAAAUUGCUGCUGAAUUCCUUUUUGUCCUUUGCAAAGAGAGAGUGGAUAGUCUGCUGAAAUACACUGGCUAUGGGAAUGCUGCAGGACUGUUGGCGGCCAGGGGCCUCUUGGCUGGAGGAAGAGGAGAUAAUUGGUACUCAGAGGACGAGGACACAGACACUGAAGAAUACAAAAAUGCAAAACCAAACAUUAAUCUUAUCACUGGUCAUUUAGAGGAACCAAUGCCAAACCCCAUAGAUGAAAUGACAGAAGAACAAAAAGAAUAUGAAGCCAUGAAACUUGUCAACAUGCUUGAUAAACUUUCCAGGUAUUGUAUUCCCAUCCAUUUUUUGCUUGGUUUCUAAAAAUGGUCUAUUUCUUUGUCUCUCUCACUGAGAGUUACCAUAGAACAGCAACUCUGGAAAUCCAUGUUGAUUGGAAUAGGGUGGCUCAGGCAGCAGUAGUUCAGCUAGCUCUUGGCUACCAUGGUUUUUCUACAUGUGCCGCUUCUGGAUGUGCAUUCCUAAACAUUUAAACUCUCAAAGCUAAGAUAGUAACUACCAGCGCACUAUAAUAAUUAACCAACUAACCUCCCUGUCUUCAAAAAGAUGCUGUGAGUUAGAUUCAGUGAUUUUGCUGCUGCUUUUAUUUUUGUUUUAGCCUGUUUUAGUUUUUGUUUCAAAUCACGAUGCUUUUAUUUUUUCAUUUUUGAUGUGUAAGUUUGCAAUUACGCCUUUUUGGGUUGCUGCUGAAACCAAGAAUUCUAAAAUGUCAUGCACCCAAUAAGAAAAAGUGAAAAGAAAUAGCUCACAUGAAGGAUUUUCUGAAAACAGGGACUUGUAUUAAUUAGGAGUUCUAAAAAAAAAAAAAAAAAAACUCCCCUUCCCCUCUUGCUUCUCACCUCCUUCCCCUUCAAAAAUAACCAGUUUUGAAAAUAAUUAAAUCAAGUAUAUACUAAUCAGCAACUAGUCAUCUUGGAAGAGUUAUUAGAAAAUAAUUCCUUUCAUACUUGGCUGAAUCACUCUAUUUUCUAGUCAUACAUUGAGUCACUAUCUUCUUUAAGCCAUCUUGAAUGAAUGCUUCUGUGUGUUGGUGGCAGCUGCCACUUAAAGAUGAAUUUCUUCUGGCCAUCUCCUUUUUCACAGUAACUAUGUAAAGGCUAGUAUCCCUCAGUCAAAAGAAGGAGCCAUUGGAAUGGAAAAGCCAGAGAGCCAACCAUGAAAGGGAAAGGUGGAACACAGAAACAAGCAGAGAUUAAGGGCACAGCAGAGGCUUAGGGUAGAAAUGGACAAGAACAAGAGACUGACAUGGGGAGUGUGACAAGUAUGGAUAUUUAUCCAUGCUGCAGAGUAUGAUGCUGGUAAUGUGGUAGAAGUUGUUUAGGAGUAAAUAGCUUAAUUAUCUACAAAGCUAAUAAGACUAGAACUCAGUAACUUCCAGCUAGCCCUUUUAAAUUUUCAUCCUUUCUCAAGAAGGUUAGAAUUUACAGCUAACUGACUAUACUCACAAUCUUGAAAAGACAUUGUUGCCUCUUUGCAAAUUACAUUCUCCAUACCUUUGUAUAGAACAGAAAUGUUCCCUCCCAGAAGGGAUUAAUAGGCACAGAGAAGAUACCGAUACGGCAAACCUAUAGGAGGCAGAAUAAGAUCAAAAUGAACAUAUAAAGAUAAGAUGGGUACUUGGCCACUUCCAGGAGGAGCUGAUGUAGCUAAUGAAACACAGGGGUAUAAAAACAACAGGAUAAGAACCAACAGAGUCAGGCCGGGCAUGGUGGCUUACGCCUGUAAUCCCAGCACAUUGGGAGGCCGAGGCAGGCGGAUCACCUGAGGUCAGGAGUUCGAGACCAGCCUGACCAACAUGGAGAAACCCUGUCUCUACUAAAAAUACAAAUUUAGCCGGGCGUGGUGGCACAUGCCUGUAAUCCCAGCCACUCAGGAGGCUGAGGCAGGAGACUCGCUUGAACCCGGGAGGCAGAGGUUGCGGUGAACCAAGGUCGCACCAUUGCACUCCAGCCUGGUCAAACAAGAACAAAACUCUGUCUCAAAAAAAAAAAAAACCCAACAGAGUCCAUCUGGUAGAAACUGGAGAGGAAGGGUUAGCAAGGACCUGAGUAGAACACAUUAGUGUGUUAGGACAGUAAACCAGUUGCAUAAAUUUCAUAUUCUGACCAACAACAUGAGUUUUUAAAGCUUAACACAAAUGCCGUUUAACUGGGCCAUCUACCCUCGAUGAGUAAACUCCAAGUAGGGAAAUGGAAGAUAGGGGAAAUAACUGCCUAAGACUACACAGUAUAAUCCAGAUACUUGGCUUACUAAUAGAGGAACUACCAUUUCAUAAGGCAUCUCUAUCACAGGCACAGAAAACAAAGGUGCUAGGUCCUUCUCCUUUUAAUCUCAGGGGAAUCCACAUAUUCUAGAAGCUGCCAACAAAUAAAUAUACAAACAUCAAGUCUGAAACACCCCAGCUUCCACCUGAUUUAAACUAUGCCUCAAAGAAGAUGCCUACUUAUCCGGAAAUACCCAGCAGAUGCCCAACUGAAGGAGAGCAGAUGUGAAGGACCUGCACCAGGAUGGUGGUUAGCAACAGUGGCCCGUGCCAAAGCACUUACCAAAGUGAUGAUGACUAAG